GGCCUCUCUCCCAUGGGGCUGUGUGGGGGCGGGGAGGGGACCUCGUCUCCUCAGCCCUUGGGCUGGAAGCGCCGAUCAGCCCUGGGGGAUCCCUGUCGGGGCUGCCACGAGCUGGGCAGCCUUGUUUUCCUACCUCAGACGUUU
ensembl:scaRNA small Cajal body-specific RNA 20